rnacentral:rRNA from 1 species
GAGUUUGAUCCUGGCUCAGGAUGAACGCUGGCGGCGUGCUUAACACAUGCAAGUCGAACGAAGCACUUGAAUGGAAUUCUUCGGAUGAAGACCUUUGUGACUGAGCAGCGGACGGGUGAGUAACGCGUGGGUAACCUGCCUCAUACAGGGGGAUAACAGUUAGAAAUGACUGCUAAUACCGCAUAAGACCACAGUACCGCAUGGUACAGGGGUAAAACUCCGGUGGUAUGAGAUGGACCCCGCGUCUGAUUAGC